GUGCAUGAGCAGUGUCAGUAUCAUAGCCGAUGAGGUUUCACUGAGGCACGAUUAUUGCUAGUGGAAAAUAAUUCCAGUGUGACAUUAUCAACAAGAGAUAAUUUAACUUUUAUAUCUAAUUGUUGCAUCAUAUAACAUUGA